rnacentral:rRNA from 1 species
AAACUUUUAACAACGGAUCUCUUGGCUCUAGCAUCGAUGAAGAACGCAGCGAAACGCGAUAUGUAGUGUGAAUUGCAGAAUUCAGUGAAUCAUCGAAUCUUUGAACGCACAUGGCGCCUUCCAGUAUCCUGGGAGGCAUGCCUGUCCGAGCGUCGUUUCAACCCUCGAGCCCCAGUGGCCCGGUGUUGGGG